UGUUCUUGGUUAGGAGUUCCUAAUUCGUGAGCCCAUGCUAGAGAUGGUGGUUAUUCUUUUCCUCCUCCUUUAGCCUCUCUUGCAAGCACUUCAUUCUUGAUAAAGUCUCCAAAAGGUUAGCUUGAGGUGCGAUUGGCUCCAGAGUCACUUGAAUUCCCUUAGAGGCAGAGCCCUCACUCCCCCAAGGCGUCCUCUCUCUACUACGGCUUAUUUCACUUGAAGUCC
rnacentral:lncRNA from 1 species